UUAUCUUAUCAGUGCCUCAAACCUAUGGUUUAAAGUGUCAAUGCUUAAUGUGACGUGAUGACCUAUUUUUUUUCAUUCGGUGGAAUUAACAGGAUUUGUGGUGUUUCAUCUUCGUGGAGAGAUCAUCGACGUUGGAGGUGUUGGUCCACGAUCGUACCUCCUCUGAUCGACUACAUCCUCUACAUUGGAGGGCGUCUCCCGUCCGAAAGCGUCUUGGAAUAACCGCGCGGAGCCACCACAAAUGGGACCCCCACCACCACGUGCUGGAGAACCCCCACAUGUACCCACGUUCGAUGAAUGGGUGGCACUAUGCAGUCAGACUCCGGGGACUGGUGACUCGACUGCUGCUUCGUCGAGUUUUAAUGAUGUUCUUUAAGUUUCUACUUGUGUUCAUUUGAUGAUGUUCUUGAGAUAAUCAUGAUAUGUGUUGUCAUAUUGAACUUUAUGUGAUAUUUGUGAGAUGAUGAUGUUGAACUUUAUGUGAGAUGAUG